GAGUUUGAUCCUGGCUCAGGAUGAACGCUAGCGGCAGGCUUAACACAUGCAAGUCGAGGGGUAACAGAGGAGCUUGCUUCUGCUGACGACCGGCGCACGGGUGCGUAACGCGUAUACAAUCUGCCUUUUACUAAGGAAUACCCCAGAGAAAUUUGGAUUAAUGCCUUAUAGUAUAUCGACUUCACAUGGAGAUGAUAUUAAAGAUUACGGUAAAAGAUGAGUAUGCGUCCUAUUAGCUAGAUGGUGUGGUAACGGCACACCAUGGCUACGAUAGGUAGGGGCCCUGAGAGGGGGAUCCCCCACACUGGUACUGAGACACGGACCAGACUCCUACGGGAGGCAGCAGUGAGGAAUAUUAGACAAUGGGCGAAAGCCUGAUCUAGCCAUGCCGCGUGCAGGAUGACGGCCCUAUGGGUUGUAAACUGCUUUUAUACAGGAAGAAAAAACUCUACGUGUAGAGUCUUGACGGUACUGUAAGAAUAAGGAUCGGCUAACUCCGUGCCAGCAGCCGCGGUAAUACGGAGGAUCCAAGCGUUAUCCGGAAUUAUUGGGUUUAAAGGGUCCGUAGGUGGACAAUUAAGUCAGAGGUGAAAUCCUGCAGCUCAACUGUAGAAUUGCCUUUGAAACUGGUUGUCUUGAGUCAUUAUGAAGUGGUUAGAAUGUGUAGUGUAGCGGUGAAAUGCAUAGAUAUUACACAGAAUACCAAUUGCGAAGGCAGAUCACUAAUAAUGUACUGACACUGAUGGACGAAAGCGUGGGUAGCGAACAGGAUUAGAUACCCUGGCAGUCCAUGCCGUAAACUAUGAUCACUAGAUGUUGGCGAUAUAUUGUCAGUGUUUAAGAGAAAUCGUUAAGUGAUCCACCUGGGGAGUACGUUCGCAAGAAUGAAACUCAAAGGAAUUGACGGGGGCCCGCACAAGCGGAGGAACAUGUGGUUUAAUUCGAUGAUACGCGAGGAACCUUACCAAGGCUUAAAUGUAGAUUGACAGACUGUGAAAACAGUUUUUNUUCGGACAAUUUACAAGGUGCUGCAUGGUUGUCGUCAGCUCGUGCCGUGAGGUGUCGGGUUAAGUCCCAUAACGAGCGCAACCCCUAUUUUUAGUUACCAGCGAGUAAUGUCGGGAACUCUAGAAAAACUGCCUGUGUAAACAGAGAGGAAGGUGGGGAUGACGUCAAAUCAUCACGGCCCUUAUGUCUUGGGCUACACACGUGUUACGAUGGUUACUACAGUGGGCUGCCAUCUGGCAACAGAGAGCAAAUCCAUAAAGGUAAUCCCAGUUCGGAUCGGAGUCUGCAACUCGACUCUGUGAAGUUGGAUUCGCUAGUAAUCGUAUAUCAGCAAUGAUACGGUGAAUACGUUCCCGGGCCUUGCACACACCGCCCGUC
rnacentral:rRNA from 1 species